UACGGGGGGGGCAAGCGGUUGUUCGGAAUUACUGGGCGUAAAGGGCGCGUAGGCGGUUUGCUAAGUUGGAUGUGAAAACUCUGGGCUUAACCCAGAGCCUGCAUCCAAAACUGGCAAACUUGAGUACUGGAGGGGAAAGCGGAAUUCCUGGUGUAGCGGUGAAAUGCGUAGAUAUCAGGAGGAACACCGGUGGCGAAGGCGGCUUUCUGGACAGUAACUGACGCUGGAGGCGCGAAAGCUAGGGGAGCAAACAGG
rnacentral:rRNA from 1 species